rnacentral:rRNA from 1 species
UACGUAGGGGGCAAGCGUUGUCCGGAUUUAUUGGGCGUAAAGAGCGUGUAGGCGGCCAAGCAGGUCAGCUGUGAAAACUCGAGGCUCAACCUCGAGACGUCGGUUGAAACCGCUUGGCUAGAGUCCGGAAGAGGAGAGUGGAAUUCCCGGUGUAGCGGUGAAAUGCGCAGAUAUUGGGAGGAACACCGGUGGCGAAGGCGGCUUUCUGGUCCGAAACUGACACUGAGAUGCGAAAGCCAGGGGAGCAAACGGG